UACGGGGGGGGCAAGCGUUGUUCGGAAUUAUUGGGCGUAAAGAGCUCGUAGGCGGUCUGUCGCGUCUGCUGUGAAAACUCAGGGCUUAACCCUGAGCUUGCAGUGGGUACGGGCAGACUAGAGUGCGGUAGGGGAGACUGGAAUUCCUGGUGUAGCGGUGAAAUGCGCAGAUAUCAGGAGGAACACCGGUGGCGAAGGCGGGUCUCUGGGCCGAUACUGACGCUGAGGAGCGAAAGCGUGGGGAGCGAACAGG
rnacentral:rRNA from 1 species